rnacentral:lncRNA from 1 species
GACGUGCUCCAGCUCCAGAACUUUGGCAAACUCUCCCAGCUUGGAGGCGGCGGCGCGGCGCACCAUGGGGGUGUCGUCAGAGCACAGGUUGCGGAAAUACCUGGGGGGGGGGACGGGGACAAUUUGGGGAGGGGGGGGGGGGGGGGGGGNCGGGGACGACCCAGAGUUGAGGCCAGGCCACUCGAACCAAAGUCAGCCUGGGGGCAGUGGGGACGGUUUGGGGACGUUGGGGGCAGUUUGGGGACGGGCAGUGGGGUCAGCGUGGCCAAAAAGCCAAGCUGGGCAACGUGGGAUUUGUCUGGAGCUGCUGCGGGGCCAACAAGGGCGGCUAUGGGGCCACCAGGGAUGGGUUGGGGCCACCACGGGUGGAAUGGGGCCACCAGGGGUAGAAUGGGGCCACCAGGGGAUGGGCUGGGGCCACCAGGGGUGGCUAUAGCACCAGCAGGAGUGGCUAUGGGGCCACCAGGGAUGGGCUGGGGCCACCAGGGAUGGGUUGGGGCCACCAGGAUUAACUAUGGGGAUGAGAAAAGAUGGAUUGGGGCCACCAAGAGCAGCUAUGGGACCAGCAGGGGUGGCUAUGGGAUCACUAGGGGAUGGAAUGUUGCCACCAGGGAUGGGUUGGGGCCACCAAGAGGUGGGUUGGGGCCACCAGGGGUGGCUAUGGGGCCACCAGGGGAUGGGUUGGGGUCACCAGGGGCGGCUAUGGGGUCACCAGGGAUGGGUUGGGGCCACCAGGGGCGGCCAUGGGGUCACCAGGGGAUGGGUUGGGGCCAUCAAGAGAUGGGCUGGGGCCACCAGGGAUAGCUAUAGGGUCACCAAAGGAUGGGUUGGGGCCACCAGGAG